rnacentral:rRNA from 1 species
UGAGUAACCUGCCCUUCACUCUGGGAUAACUCCGGGAAACCGGGGCUAAUACUGGAUAUGACUCGAACAGGCAUCUGUUUCGGGUGGAAAGAUUUAUUGGUGGAGGAUGGACUCGCGGCCUAUCAGCUUGUUGGUAAGGUAAUGGCUCACCAAGGCGACGACGGGUAGCCGGCCUGAGAGGGCGAUCGGCCACACUGGGACUGAGACACGGCCCAGACUCCUACGGGAGGCA